GGCAUGUGAAUGUGAAACAGACUGCUUAAUAUUUGGUUAAUUAUUUUUGGAGCAGGCUAAAAGAGAUCCAAUACCUUUACACCGUGCUGCAAAACUGUUGAUUAAUAUGCAAUUGGAGAGUGGUGAAUUUCCACAGCAAGAAGUCACAGGGUGCUUUUGCGAUUCUGCCACGCUCACUUACAGCAACUACAGGAACAUUUUUCCAACAUGGGCCCUUGGAAAAUAUUCGACUGAAGUCUUUCUCCAUGCCAAGAAAUGAAGAGCCUACACGUCUACUUAUAUCACUGUUGUUGCCUGGAUACUAUUAGUAGUUCCCCAUGUCAUGUACUUCUCCCAAUGAAAGAACUAUAGUAUGCUACACGUCUACUUAUAUCACUGUUGUUGCCUGGAUACUAAUAGUAGCUUCCAUGUCAUGUACUUCUCCAAAUGAAAGAACCAUAGUAUGCUGGAACAGCCAAUAGGCUUUAAUUAUAUUUAAAGUGUGGAAUAUGCCUA